rnacentral:rRNA from 1 species
AUUGAACGCUGGCGGGAGGCCUAACACAUGCAAGUCGAACGAGAGGCGGGCGGGUGAGUACUGUCUGGGCCCCUGCCCGAUGGAUGGGUACAACUACUGGAAACGGUAGCUAAUACCGCAUACCAUCAGAUGUGUCCAGAUGGGAUUAGCUAGUGGUUGGGGUACCGGCUCACAAAGGCGACGAUCCGUAGCUGGUCUGAGAGGAUGACCAGCCACACUGGGACUGAGACACGGUCCAGACUCCUACGGGAGGCAGCAGUGGGGAAUAUUGGACAAUGGGCGCAAGCCUGAUGCAGCCAUGCCGCGUGUGUGAAGAAGGCCUUCGGGUUGUAAAGUACUUUCGGCGGGGAGGCGGUACCCGCAGAAUAAGCACCGGCUAACUCCGUGCCAGCAGCCGCGGUAAUAC